CUUUUGCUUCCAUUGGGUUCAAAUAAUUGUGCAUUCUGCCUUUGUGAUUUAUUAUUAAUUUGGUUGUGAAUCCCCAUUGAUAAUCAUUCUUCUUUUGUCUAAGAAUCGUUGUUAUAUCUUGGAUAUGCCUUCUUUCUGUUAAGGUGGCUGCUGACAUAUUAGAGAAAAUUUUGAUAUCUUGAUGUUUUUCAUCUGUAAGUGGAUUAUUUCUGAUUUGUUUCCUAAUUGUGUUUUUCAGAUGAUGGUUUGCAAAUCGCACAAUAAUAUCUCUACUGUGGUAUCUUUCUAGCGGAUGUGCCCCAUAUGAAAAUAUAUCUGUAAUUGAAGCAAAUAAAUCUAAUAGAUAAGUUUCAAGUUCUUGAUUUGUGACACUUUCAGAGACACCUCUUAUUUUAAGAUUUUUCCUCCUAGAUCUGUUUUCUAAGAUAUCUUUGUUUCUAAGGAUUGAAUUUUAGAUUUGAGUUGAAGAUUCUCUGUUUGUACUUCCAUGAAGUCACUCUGAAAUUUAUUUAAUAGAUCUGCUUGUUAAGAGAGUUUUUGACUUAUGUUAGUUACUUAAUUUUUCAGUUCCAACAUGUUCAGAUCUAAA